rnacentral:rRNA from 1 species
AGCGAACGCUGGCGGCAGGCCUAACACAUGCAAGUCGAACGAACCUUUCGGGGUUAGUGGCGGACGGGUGAGUAACACGUGGUAACGUGCCUUUAGGUUCGGAAUAACUCAGGGAAACUUGUGCUAAUACCGAAUGUGCCCUUCGGGGGAAAGAUUUAUCGCCUUUAGAGCGGCCCGCGUCUGAUUAGCUAGUUGGUUGAGGUAAUGGCUCACCAAGGCGACGAUCAGUAGCUGGUCUGAGAGGAUGAUCAGCCACAUUGGGACUGAGACACGGCCCAAACUCCUACGUGAGGCAGCAGUGGGGAAUCUUGCGCAAUGGGCGAAAGGCUGACGCAGCCAUGCCGCGUGAAUGAUGAAGGUCUUAGGAUUGUAAAAUUCUUUCACCGGGGACGAUAAUGACGGUACCCGGAGAAGAAGCCCCGGCUAACUUCGUG